rnacentral:rRNA from 3 species
CGACCCCAGGUCAGGCGGGGUUACCCGCUGAAUUUAA